rnacentral:misc_RNA from 1 species
GAUGAAGAACGUAGCGAAAUGCGAUAAGUAAUGUGAAUUGCAGAAUUCAGUGAAUCAUCGAAUCUUUGAACGCACCUUGCGCUCGUUGGUAUUCCGACGAGCAUGCCUGUUUGAGUGUCAUUAAAUUCUCAACCUCAUCGCUUUUGUGAUGAUGGCUUGGAUGUGGAGGUUUUCUGCAGGCCGAACGGUCUGCUCCUCUCAAAUGAAUUAGUGGGUGCCCCGCGCAAACCUAUCUAUUGGUGUGAUAAUUAUCUACGCCGUGGAUCUUAGGAUUGCUGUAAAAAGGUGUUUGCCCCGCUUCUAACCGUGGUCAGACAACUUGAACCAUUUGACCUCAAAUCAGGUAGGACUACCCGCUGAACUUAAGCAUAUCAAUAAGCGGAGGA